CCAACCAAGCAUUCAAUGAGCUUAUUUGCUUUAGCCUGGAGAGAAAAGUCAUGAUAUGCUGCUGAAUUACAUCAGCGAGGAACCAAAGUGUUACCCUUGGUGGUUAAGGAUUCCUUGGCAGUUCACAAGGGGCCAUUUAACUCAUAAUCGUGGAAGAGGACAAAGAAAUCAUUUCAGCUUGGUAUGAUGAGAGCGAUAAUGAAGAUAUGCAGAAGAGGGGCCCCUCACAUAGACUGUGGGGUUCAAAGAAGACAUCCUAGAUGAGGUAAUGCAGAGCUAAGCUUCCCAGAAGAAGCAAGAAUGCAUCAGGCAGGAUGAGGGUGGUAAUGGUGGAUGGGUAGGGUGGGAUGAAGUGUUUCAAGAAAAACAGCGUCGUGACAUACACAAUUGUUACUUUUCGGAUGACCAGCAGCUGCACCCCACACUGAUUUAUUCUGGGGACUUAAUCUGUCUCCUUACCCAGUGCCCACUGUUGUACUGUCGACAGGAGGGAAUACACAGGUCCCUUUCUCCUAGAGACUUGAGUUAAACACCCUUCCUUACGUGAUCUCAAUAGUACAACGACAGCAAGCUGAGCUAUGCCAUUCAGAUUUCUCUCUCCUUGAACUUCACUUUUGACCCAAGGCUGGAAUGAAGACUUGGAGUUUCCCUGGAGGAAUUUCUGCGGCGGAGCUCAGAGCACAUUGUCCAGCCUGCGCUCAAGAGGCUGAGUGGGAGAUGCAGGAGUGUAAAGUCUAGAAGUGGACUAUGGUUGGGCAGAAAGGGCCUUCCUUCCUUCCGACCACAAAAGCAGAGGGAGCUAAGUGUAGGCCUGGAGAAGAAGAAGAAGGAGAAAUUGCCAGAAGAGUGUGAUGCUCUGGGUAGGGGCAGAAUAGGGACUAUGUGGAGGAGAAACAGUUCAACGCUGGAAGCCCGAGUCCAGCUAUCUGAAUUACAGGGCCUUGUCUUUUAGCUUAGCUCUUGACCUUGACCUUGAGAUGCUCUCCCACUGCACCAAAAAGUGGAGGGUAUUUACAUAUCUCAUAACGGGAUGAGGAGAAGCGGAGUCCUAGAUGGAUGAAUGGUAGAGCGGGUGGAAGUCUUUGAACAAAUUCUUUUAUAAUCCUCUAGGUAGUAACGGGCUGAGGAAUCCACAAGAG
rnacentral:lncRNA from 1 species